rnacentral:tRNA from 1 species
ACCAGGAUGGCCGAGUGUUUAAGGCGUUGCACUCAAGAUGCAAUGGACGUUUGUCCUCGUGGGUUCAAGUCCCACUCCUGGUA